GGUGGCUCAGUGGUAGAGUGCUUGCCUCACAAGCACAAAGCCCUGGGUUCGAUUCCUCAGCACCA
rnacentral:tRNA from 1 species